rnacentral:rRNA from 1 species
AAUACAUUUUUAUAAUACAAUACUGUGAACAAACCAGAGUGUAUAAAACAUGUAAUAUAUUAUAUAUUUUAGCAAUGAAUGUUUUAUCAUGGAAUAUUGCUUUAAUAUGUUAUUUCAUUUACUUCGAUGGAGAUAGUUGGAGUUAAGAGUACUGAUAGGCGAGCGGUGAAAUGCAUUGACCCUAUUAAGACUAACAAAAGCGAAAGCACUUAACUAGAUUAUUCUCUUUGUAUUAUUACAAUGAAGAGCGAAGGUUGGGGGAACAAAGAGGAUCAGAUACCCUCGUAGUCCUAUUUUUACAUCAAACUAUGGGAUUUCAUUCACAAUUCUAAAUAAAAAUAUAUGAUUGAGUAUAUAAUCCAUUUUAUUACUCUCAUAUUAUAAUAAUAUAAAAUGAUUAUAUGUACUUUGAGCUCAUAUAAUUAUAUAGGUGAGAUGUAAGCAUUAUAGGUGAAUAAUAUAUAAGUAAUAUUAUAUUAUUAUGAUCCUUAUUUAUAAAAAUGUAAUGUGAUG